UACGUAGGGUGCGAGCGUUGUCCGGAAUUACUGGGCGUAAAGAGCUUGUAGGUGGUUUGUCGCGUUGUUCGUGAAAUCUCACGGCUUAACUGUGAGCGUGCGGGCGAUACGGGCAGACUAGAGUACUGCAGGGGAGACUGGAAUUCCUGGUGUAGCGGUGGAAUGCGCAGAUAUCAGGAAGAACACCCGUGGCUAAGGCGGCUCUCUAGUACGGUACUGACGCUGAGACGCGAAAGCGUGGGGAGCGAACAGG
rnacentral:rRNA from 1 species